AUUGAACGCUGGCGGCAGGCCUAACACAUGCAAGUCGAGCGAGCGGCGGACGGGUGAGUAAUGUAUGGGGACUGCCCGAUAGAGGGGGAUAACUACUGGAAACGGUGGCUAAUACCGCAUACUAUCGGAUAACCCAUAUGGGAUUAGCUAGUAGGUGGGGUAAAGGCUCACCUAGGCGACGACCUCUAGCUGGUCUGAGAGGAUGAUCAGCAACACUGGUGCUGGGACAAGGCCCAGACUUCUACGGAGACAGCAGUGGGGAAUAUUGGGCAAUGGGCGCAAGCCUGAUGCAGCCAUGCCGCGUGUAUUAAAAAGGCCUUAGGGUUGUAAAGUACUUUCAGCGGGGAGGCGUUACCCGCAGAAGAAGCACCGGCUAACUCCGUGCCAGCAGCCGCGGUAAUUC
rnacentral:rRNA from 1 species